rnacentral:rRNA from 1 species
GAAACCUGCCCCGGAGACCGGAAUAGACCAGGGAAACCUGGAUUAAUACCGGAUACCCUCCGACGAUCGCAUGAUCGACGGAGGAAAUGGUCCGCCGCUCCGGGAUGGUCUCGCGGCCUAUCAGUUAGUUGGUGAGGUAACGGCUCACCAAGACUACGACGGGUAGCUGGUCUGAGAGGACGAUCAGCCACACUGGGACUGAGACACGGCCCAGACUCCUACGGGAGGCAGCAGCAGGGAAUUUUGCACAAUGGGCGCAAGCCUGAUGCAGCGACGCCGCGUGGGGGAUGAAUGCCUUCGGGUUGUAAACCCCUUUCAGGAGGGACGAAGCGAAAGUGACGGUACCUCCAGAAGAAGCCCCGGCCAACUACGUGCCAGCAGCCGCGGUAAUACGUAGGGGGCGAGCGUUGUCCGGAUUUAUUGGGCGUAAAGAGCUCGUAGGCGGCUCAGCAAGUCGGCCGUGAAAGCCUGAGGCUCAACCUCAGGACGCCGGUCGAAACUGCUGUAGCUAGGGUUCGGUAGAGGAGAGUGGAAUUCCGGUGUAGCGGUGAA